GAUGAAGAACGUAGCGAAAUGCGAUACGUAAUGUGAAUUGCAGAUUUCAGUGGAUCAUCGAAUCUUUGAACGCACAUUGCGCCCGCCAGUAUUCUGGCGGGCAUGCCUGUUCGAGCGUCAUUUCAACCAUCAAGCGCCUCGCUUGUGUUGGGGCCCUGCGGCUGCCGCAGGCCCCUAAAUCCAGUGGCGGGCUCGUCGUCGUACCGAGUGCAGUAAACAUCCUCGCUCAGGGAACCCGACGGGUGCCGGCCGUGAAACCCCCCCUCCUCAAGGUUGACCUCGGAUCAGGUAGGAAUACCCGCUGAACUUAAGCAUAUCAAUAAGCGGAGGA
rnacentral:misc_RNA from 1 species